GCGAGUAUAGUUUAGUGGCAGAACAGUUGCUUCCCAAGCAACAGACGGGGUUUCGAUUACCCCUACUCGCA
rnacentral:tRNA from 1 species